rfam:Camelus ferus unplaced genomic scaffold scaffold4955, whole genome shotgun sequence.
GAGAGUAUAGCUCAGUGGUAGAGUGUGUGCUUAGCAUGCACAAGGUCCUGGGUUCAAUCGCCAGUACCUCCG